ACUGAACGCUGGCGGCAUGCCUUACACAUGCAAGUCGAACGGCAGCACGGGAGCAAUCCUGGUGGCGAGUGGCGAACGGGUGAGUAAAGUAUCGGAACGUGCCCAGUCGUGGGGGAUAACGUAGCGAAAGUUACGCUAAUACCGCAUACGAUCUAUGGAUGAAAGCGGGGGAUCGCAAGACCUCGCGCGAUUGGAGCGGCCGAUAUCAGAUUAGGUAGUUGGUGGGGUAAAGGCUCACCAAGCCGACGAUCUGUAGCUGGUCUGAGAGGACGACAAGCCACACUGGGACUGAGACACGGCCCAGACUCCUACGGGAGGCAGCAGUGGGGGAUUUUGGACAAUGGGCGAGAGCCUGAUCCAGCCAUGCCGCGUGCAGAAUGAAGGCCUUCGGGUUGUAAACUGCUUUUGUACGGAACGAAAAGGUUUGGCCUAAUAAGCUGAGCUCAUGACGGUACCGUAAGAAUAAGCACCGGCUAACUACGUGCCAGCCGCCGCGGUAA
rnacentral:rRNA from 1 species